GACGAACCGUGCGAACGUUGUUCGGAAUCACUGGGCUUAAAGGGCGCGUAGGCGGCCUUCUAAGUCAGACGUGAAAUCCCUCGGCUCAACCGGGGAACUGCGUCUGAGACUGGAAGGCUUGAAUCCGGGAGAGGGAUGUGGAAUUCCAGGUGUAGCGGUGAAAUGCGUAGAUAUCUGGAGGAACACCGGUGGCGAAGGCGGCAUCCUGGACCGGUAUUGACGCUGAGGCGCGAAAGCCAGGGGAGCAAACGGG
rnacentral:rRNA from 1 species